rnacentral:lncRNA from 1 species
AUGGGACAAAUAUAAAAUUUUCGGUUGAUGAUUGUUGGGUUAGUGAUAUCAAAUUCACUUAUUAGCCUAAUUGGUUCUAUUUUGGGUUUGGUUCAACAACUCAUGUAAUGGGCUAGUUAGUAUUUGGUUUGGGCUUUAGUUGACCCAUUUGGUAUGUUGGGCCAAGUGGAGUUAAGAGAGAACUCUUUGGGUUAGAGAGAGGGUGUUCUCAUUUUUGCUCUCUAGGUUUUCCCUUUUCUUGUAAUAGAGAAGAGAGGUGUAGAGAGGGUUGGAGAAGGAGCUCUCUUGUUCUUCUUGCUUGAUUCAAAGACUUCCAAGGUAGAUUGGAGGAAUUCUAAGAGGUAUUCCGAAGCGGGAUUCGCGGAAUCGGAAGGUGCUUCAAAGAAGGUGUAGCAAGAAGGGAUUUCCAUUGGAAGGUUGUAAGCCCAUUGUGAUAGAGUGGUAAUCUCUAACCAAAUCUUGUAAUCUCCUCAUUUGAUAGUGGAUUUGAUCUCUCCGUGCCCGUGGAUGUAGCCCGGUUUGGGUGAACCACGUAAAUCUUGUGUUGUUGUUGUGCUUGUGCUUGGAUUUUUCUCUUUCAACUUCAUUUACUCCAAUCUUGCAUAUCUUGGUUGUGGAUAAUUUAGAUACAUCACAUUUGCUUACUAGUGUGAUUAGUAUCUUGAUAGUGAGGGUUCCGUCAUUAGCUCACUACAAUUGGUAUCAGAGCUUCAAGGUUGAGUGCAAGGUGUUCGAUAAAUUGUCUCAAUGGCAACAAAUCGAUUGGAAGUGGACAAAUUUGAUGGAAAGAGAAACUUUGAACUUUGGAAGUUAAAAGUUCAUGAUUUAUUGGUACAACAUGGACAAUACAAGGCUCUACUUGGGAGAGAUAAGAAACCGGAAUGGAUGGCCGAUGAUGAAUGGGAGGAGAUGGACAUGAAAGCUUUAGCCACCAUUCGCAUGUGCUUGGCGGAUGAAGUUCUUUUCAAUAUAAUUGGAGAGAAAACGGCUUUUGGAUUAUGGGCAAAGUUAGAGAGCUUGUACCAAAACAAGUCAAUUACCAACCGGAUUUUCUUGAAGAGACGGUUGUACUCUUUGAGAAUGAAAGAAGGCACCAAGGUCUCCGAGCACUUGAAUGUAUUCAACAACAUUAUUUGUGAGCUUGAGAGUAUCGGAGAGAAGAUGAAGGAUGAAGAUAAGGCCAUCACUUUGUUAUGCACAUUGCCGGAUUCCUAUGAGACUUUGAUUACAAGUUUAAGUUGCACUAAAGAAGAUUCUCUUGACUUGGACACCGUUUGUAGUGCAUUGUUGGCCGAUGAACUUCGAAAGAAGGUAACUUUGGGGAGUUCGGAGGGUGAAACGGAAGCACUUGUAGUAAGAGGUCGUUAUAAAGAACGUGAAAAUAUGUCAAGAAAUUUUUCAAGAAGCAAGUCAAAGAAUAGAUCAAAGUCUAGAAAUCGGAAUGACAAAAGGCUUUGUUGGUUUUGUGGCAAAUCCGGACAUAUGAAGAAAGAUUGUCUAAAAAGAAAAGGCUCCAAUGGUGGAAGGGACAAUGGUGAAUCAAGUAGUAGUAAACAAAACUCGGAAUCGAACAAUGAAGCACAUCAAGUUGAAGAAACAACAUCGGGUGUUAUUGAUGAUGAGGUCUUGAUGGCGGGUUCUAGUUCGGUGUUUCAUCAAAAUUGGAUUCUUGAUAGUGGCGCUACUCAUCAUAUGUGCCCACAUCGUUCAUGGUUCAUUACCUAUGAGGAAUGCGAUGGUGGUACCAUUUCGAUGGGAAACAACUCAACUAGUAGAACGGUGGGAGUUGGUUCGGUGCGCUUGAGAAUGUAUGAUGGAAUGGUUCGGGUACUUGAAAAUGUGCGACAUGUUCCGGAUUUGAAGAAAGGUUUGAUCUCUCUCUCCGAAUUGGACAACAAAGGCUACAAAUUUACGGGGCAAGGUGGAGUUAUAAAAGUCUCCAAAGGUGCGUUGGUUGUCAUGAAAGGCAUUCGGGUUGGAAACUUGUACAAGCUAUUGGGUAGUACAAUGACGGAUGAAACUUAUGCGGCGACGGAAAAUGAUGACCUUCCUCUCCGACUAUGGCAUAGAAGGUUGGGUCAUAUGAGUGAGAAGGGUAUGAAGGUUUUAGUAGAGAAGAAACUUAUACCGGAUAUUACUUUUAGUGACUCGGAAUUUUGUGAGCAUUGUGUUUAUGGAAAACAUCAUAAGCGGAGCUUCAAAGCCGGGAGUCAUACAAGUAAAGGUAUUCUUGACUACAUUCAUACGGAUGUGUGGAGUUCUCCUACUACUUCAUAUGGUGGUGCCAAUUAUUAUAUAUCAUUUAUUGAUGACUUCUCACGGAAGGUUUGGGUGAAAUUUCUCAAGUCGAAAGGUGAGGCAUUUCAAGCAUUUAAGCACUUCAAGGCCGAAGUAGAGAAUCUCACCGGAUGCCGCAUUAAAGUUCUCCGAUCGGACAAUGGUUUGGAGUACAAAUCUAAAGAGUUUGAGCUCUUUUGUAAAGAGAAUGGCAUCUCAAGACACUAUACAAAUCCGUAUGAUCCACAACAAAAUGGGGUGGCCGAGAGGAUGAAUCGUACAUUGAUGGAGCGGGCUCGUAGCAUGUUGAGCAAUGCCGGUUUGGAGCACGAGUUAUGGGCCGAGGCCGUGUCCAUGGCAUGUUAUCUUGUCAACCGCUCACCUUCCAUGGCUAUAAAUAGAAAGACACCGGAGGAGGUAUGGUUCGGAACUCCUUGUGAUUAUUCUAAUCUAAAAAUAUUUGGUUGUCAUGCUUAUGCAUUGGUUCCUAGUUGUCAAAGAACUAAGCUAGAUCCAAGAUAAAAAAAAUGCAUAUUUGUUGGUUAUACAAAAGGUGUGAAAGGAUACCGGUUAUGGGAUUCGGUGGCCCACAAAAUUAUCACAAGUUGUGAUGUUCAUUUUGAUGAAUCAAAUGUGUUGAAAAAGGGUGUAGAACAUGAAAGCAUCGAGGAGGAAGAAAUUCGGAAUGAUACUCAAAAUUUUGAGCUACCAUCUUCAACUUUCUCACCAAAUGAAGACAUUGAAUCGGAGGAUACACCGGUUGAAUAUGGUGAGGUCGAUGAUCAAAUCCAUGAAAAUUCUAAUGAAGGGGAAAGUUCUCAUGAAGGUGGAGAAAUAGAUGACUUGCCUCGAUGUUCUACAAGAGAGCGGCACACACCUUUGCAUUUGAAAGAUUUUGUAGAUCCAAGUACAUUUCGGGCACUAAUUGUGGAACAAGAAGAGCCGUGUACAUUUCUAGAGGCCAUAAAUUCUAUUGAUGCAAAGCAUUGGAAAGAAGCAAUGGAGGAAGAAAUUGUGGCACUUUACAAGAAUGAAGCUUGGAAUUUGGUGGAGUUACCAAAGAGCCGAAAAGCAAUUGGUUGCAAGUGGGUGUACAAAAUCAAAAGAGGAACCGAUGGGACAAUUCAUAGGUAUAGAGCAAGAUUGGUUGCUAAAGGCUUCGCACAAAGGGAAGGUAUGGAUUUCUUUGAAGUAUUUUCUCCUGUUGUUAAAUUGGUUUCUAUUCGGCUUGUUCUUAGUCUUGUUGCUAUGAAUGAUUUGGAACUUGGGCAAUUAGAUGUUAAAACGGCAUUUUUGCAUGGAGAUUUAGAAGAAGAGGUUUAUAUGUAUCAACCUCAAGGCUUCAUAGAGAAGGAUAAAGAACACCUUGUAUGUAAGCUCAAAAAAUCAUUGUAUGGACUCAAACAAGCAUCAAGACAAUGGUAUCGAAAGUUUGACACUUUUAUGCUAAGUCGUGGAUUCCAAAGAAGUAAGUAUGACCAUUGUGUCUACUUAAAAUUCUUCAAAGAUGGUACCUUUGUGGCUUUGGUGUUGUAUGUGGAUGACAUGCUUAUAGUAUGCAAGGACAAACUAAAGAUCAAUGAACUCAAGGAUGAAUUGAGUAAAGACUUUGAAGUAAAAGAUCUCGGACCGGCACGUCAAAUUCUUGGCAUGGAGAUUUGGCGGGAUAGACAAAAUGGCACAUUGUCACUUUCACAAAAGGGAUUUGUAGAAAAAUUGAUAUACAAGUUUGGCAUGAGUAAAGCAAAGGCGGUAAAGACACCAUUUGCGUCCCACUUUAAAUUAUCUUCCGAGCAAAGUCCAAAGACGGAGGAGGAAAAGAAGUUGAUGAAUCGAGUUCCCUAUUCAAGUGUUGUAGGUAGCUUGAUGUUUGCCAUGGUGUGUACACGCCCGGACAUUGCAUAUGCCGUUGGUGUUCUUAGUCGGUUUAUGGCAAAUCCCGGAAAGGUGCAUUGGGAAGCGGCGAAAUGGGUUCUUCGCUAUUUGAGAGGUACAAGUGAUUAUGCAAUCAUGUAUGGCAAAAACUCAAGGCCAAUGCAAGGUUAUGUUGAUGCUAAUUUUGCCGGUGAUCUUGACAAGAGAAGAUCUACAACGGGCUUUGUAUUUGAACAUGGAAAUGGUCCAAUUAGUUGGAUGUCCAAGCUUCAAGUAACGGUGGCUUUGUCAACCACGGAGGCCGAGUACAUGGCACUUACCGAGGCAACCAAGGAGGCGGUGUGGCUUCAAGGUUUGAUGAAAGAGCUUGGUAUGAAUUUUAAACCCAUGUGUUUAUUAUGUGAUAGUAUGAGUGCAAUAUGUUUGGCUAAAAAUCCGGUUUAUCAUAAAAGGACUAAACAUAUUGAUGUGCAAUAUCAUUACAUCCGGGAUGUCAUUGAAGAUGGCAAGGUGAGGGUGUUGAAAGUUGGCACUCAUGAGAAUGUAGCCGAUAUGCUCACGAAGCCGGUACAAGUAGAGAAGUUGAAUUGGAGCCUAACUUCUUUAGGCUUCAAGUUGAGCGGAGGAUAAAGGCACAUGGUUGGCGCGGAGAUGAGGAGCGGUGAUUUUGCUAUCAAGGUGGAGAUUGUUGGGUUAGUGAUAUCAAAUUCACUUAUUAGCCUAAUUGGUUCUAUUUUGGGUUUGGUUCAACAACUCAUGUAAUGGGCUAGUUAGUAUUUGGUUUGGGCUUUAGUUGACCCAUUUGGUAUGUUGGGCCAAGUGGAGUUAAGAGAGAACUCUUUGGGUUAGAGAGAGGGUGUUCUCAUUUUUGCUCUCUAGGUUUUCCCUUUUCUUGUAAUAGAGAAGAGAGGUGUAGAGAGGGUUGGAGAAGGAGCUCUCUUGUUCUUCUUGCUUGAUUCAAAGACUUCCAAGGUAGAUUGGAGGAAUUCUAAGAGGUAUUCCGAAGCGGGAUUCGCGGAAUCGGAAGGUGCUUCAAAGAAGGUGUAGCAAGAAGGGAUUUCCAUUGGAAGGUUGUAAGCCCAUUGUGAUAGAGUGGUAAUCUCUAACCAAAUCUUGUAAUCUCAUCAUUUGAUAGUGGAUUUGAUCUCUCCGUGUCCGUGGAUGUAGCCCGGUUUGGGUGAACCACGUAAAUCUUGUGUUGUUGUUGUGCUUGUGCUUGAAUUUUUCUCUUUCAACUUCAUUUACUCCAAUCUUGCAUAUCUUGGUUGUGGAUAAUUUAGAUACAUCACAUUUGCUUACUAGUGUGAUUAGUAUCUUGAUAGUGAGGGUUCCGUGAUUAGCUCACUACAAUGAUGCUGUAGAGAAAGUGGAGUCUAACAUAUGGACCAGAGUUUCGUUGGGAGUUUACUGUAUGUGACAGACACAAGACUGGAUAUUGUGCAAACAAUCAAUUUGCUUUGUUGGUUAUGCAACAUUCAAGCAAAAUUCAUUUCGGUGCAGCAAAAUGGAUCCUGAGAAACUUGAUGGAACUAUUGGUCAUGUUUUAUGUUACAGUAACUCUAAUAAUUUUCUGUUUUGGUUUCUUCCAAUAGUGAUUGGGUAGUGGAGUGGAUAUAUGUUAGAAAAAGCACAAGCAUGCUCGUAUUCAAGUUUAUUUAAAUAGCAAUGUGCUGGUCCUCAAAGAAGCAAUACAUGGCAGCAUUUCAUCUUUUAAAGCAGAAUAUAUUGCACGUUAUUGUUGCAUCCUGCCUACCAGUGCGGACACGUUGGAUUUUGUCUGACUGGAAGCAAGGCUGGAAGGAGCUUACAUCCGUUUGCCGUGACAGUCAAUCAACAGCUACCAGGACAAAAAAAAUCCGGAGCAUUAUAGUCAUACCAAAAACAUACAAAUUUACUACCAUUUCAUUUGGAAAAGUGGCGAAUGGCAACAUCUGAGUUGGCAUAUUGUUCAAGUCAAGCGCAACUAGCAGAUUUUUUUCACCAAGCUUCUUAACUCUGAAAAAUAUUAUUUGGAGUCAAGAGUCACGGAGGUCUCAUGGGGUUGUGAUUAACAUAAGACCAAGUCUAUUUUAGUUUUGGUAAUAUUAUUAGCUUUUUGCUGGGAAGAGUUAGAAGAUAUAUAGUUGUGACAGAUUUGUUUUUUGGCUAAUCUCUUUGUUAGUUAACGACCUUAUUUAUUAUAUAUUCAUUAAGUAUGUUAAUUAGUCAGUAGAUUGUUCUAAUCUUAGGGAUCGAAAGUAAGCUGUGUGUAGAUGGAGCUGCAGCAUAAAACCAUCAAGCCGUGCAACCAUGCAUGUACUAGUUGCAUUCCAGUUAAUUCGUUAGUUUUUUUAUUCUCCUAUUUCAAGUUUUGCCAAAAUUUCCUCCUUUCCAUAUUCUCUUGUGCGAACCUAUGCACCAUCAAAACUAGGGGCAAGUUGGUAAGUAGCUUUCUAGUAGUCAUAAUUAAGCAUCAGGCAUAAAAAGAAAUAUCAUGUCCUGAAACUAUCUUGUAACUCUAUUUUAUUAUAAAAAAAAUAAGAAAUCUAUGAGUUGCUAUUUACAGUAAUAUUACAUUCUGUUGCAGAAACUAAUUAAGUUGGCCUCAAUCUUAAAAUCUCUUUCAAAGAGUUUCCAAUGAUGUUAUCUUUAACUAUAUGAAUAUAACUAUGUAUUGAAAUAUACAUAACUUAUGAAUCGUGAAAACAGAUGUACAAAAAAACACAAAUAUUAGAAAGAAAGUAAUGAAACUC